rnacentral:tRNA from 1 species
GUCGGGAUAGCUCAGCUGGUAGAGCAGAGGACUGAAAAUCCUUUUGGGUGGAAGGGGCGGCCUGAUCCGACA